AGUGAACGCUGGCGGUAUGCCUAACACAUGCAAGUCGAACGGCAGCACAGUAAUAGCUUGCUCUUACGGGUGGCGAGUGGCGGACGGGUGAGGAAUACAUCGUAAUCUACUUUUUCGUGGGGGAUAACGUAGGGAAACUUACUCUAAUACCGCAUACGACCUACGGGUGAAAGCAGGGGAUCUUCGGACCUUGCGCGAUUGAAUGAGCCGAUGUCGGAGUAGCUAGUUGGCGGGGUAAAGGCCCACCAAGGCGACGAUCCGUAGCUGGUCUGAGAGGAUGAUCAGCCACACUGGAACUGAGACACGGUCCAGACUCAUACGGGAGGGAGCAGUGGGGAAUAUUGGACAAAGGGCGCAAGCCUGAUCCAGCCAUACCGAGUGGGUGAAGAAGGCCUUCGGGUUGUAAAGCCCUUUUGUUGGGAAAGAAAAGCAGCAGGUUAAUACCCCGCUGUUCUGACGGUACCCAAAGAAUAAGCACCGGCUAACUUCGUG
rnacentral:rRNA from 1 species